UACGUAGGGACCUAGCGUUGUCCGGAAUCAUUGGGCGUAAAGCGCGCGUAGGCGGCCCGGUAAGUCCGUUGUAAAAGUCGAAGGCUCAACCUUCGAAAGCCGAUGGAUACUGCCGGGCUAGAGUCCGGAAGAGGCGAGUAGAAUUCCUGGUGUAGCGGUGGAAUGACGCAGAUAUCAGGAGGAAUACCCAUAGCGAAGGCAGCUCGCUGGGACGGUACUGACGCUGAGGCGCGAAAGCGUGGGGAGCGAACAGG
rnacentral:rRNA from 1 species